rnacentral:rRNA from 1 species
CUACGUGCCAGCAGCCGCGGUAAUACGGAAGGUCCGGGCGUUAUCCGGAUUUAUUGGGUUUAAAGGGAGCGUAGGCCGUGGAUUAAGCGUGUUGUGAAAUGUAGACGCUCAACGUCUGACUUGCAGCGCGAACUGGUUCACUUGAGUGUGCGCAACGCAGGCGGAAUUCGUGGUGUAGCGGUGAAAUGCUUAGAUAUCACGAAGAACUCCGAUUGCGAAGGCAGCUUGCGGGAGCACAACUGACGCUGAAGCUCGAAAGUGCGGGUAUCAAACAGGAUUAGAUACCCUGGUAGUCCACGCAGUAAACGAUGAUAACUGGGCGUAUGCGAUAUACAGUAUGCUCCUAAGCGAAAGCGUUAAGUUAUCCACCUGGGGAGUACGCCGGCAACGGUGAAACUCAAAGGAAUUGACGGGGGCCCGCACAAGCGGUGGAGCAUGUGGUUUAAUUCGAUGCAACGCGAAGAACCUUACCUACUCUUGACAUCCAGAGAACAUUC